rnacentral:misc_RNA from 1 species
AAAGUGCGACAAGUGUCACGACUUGCAGAUUCCCGGGAGCUGACAACUUUCUGAAUGCAGAUUGCGGCCCGACAAUCUAAGCCGUCGGCCAUGUGCUGCAGAGUGUUCUUGCCUUGUGCAAUCCAUCUUUCUUGGGCUUGUCCCUAGAAGAAUACGGAGUUGAGCGGCCUGUGUUGCCACACUCGUGUGGCACGCGCGUUCAGCUCUGAGAUUUGCGCAAGCUCGCCCGUCAAAAAGACGAGCCUGCCUUGAAUUCAAUUCGAUGGCAGAAAAGCUCUUCAAUUUGACGACACGACGAGAAAGCGCCCUCUCCUUUUGCUGACCUCUGCGGCAUAAGAAAACCCGCUGAACUUAA